rnacentral:sRNA from 1 species
GCUAGACAUGGUGGCACGUGCUUAUAAUCCCAGCAGCUUGGGAGGCUGAGGCAGGAGGAUCACAAAUUUGAGGCUAGUCUCAGCAAUUUACUGAGACCCUGAGCAACUUAGUGAGACCCUGUCUCAA